AGGGAAUAGAUACCCUGGUAGUCCAUGCUGUAAACGAUGGAUGCUAGCUGUGAUGCGUAUCGACCCGCGUCGUAGCGAAGCUAACGCGUUAAGCAUCCCGCCUGUGGAGUACGGCCGCAAGGCUAAAACAUAAAGGAAUUGACGGGGACCCGCACAAGCGGUGGAGCGUGUUGUUUAAUUCGAUGGUAAGCGAAGAACCUUACCCAGGUUUGACAUCCUUGGAAGUUCUGCGAAAGCAGAGUGUGCCUUCGGGAACCAAGUGACAGGUGAUGCAUGGCCGUCUUCAGCUCGUGUCGUGAGACGUUAGGUUAAGUCCUU
rnacentral:rRNA from 1 species